rnacentral:lncRNA from 1 species
AUGAUGCCAAAAUCUUUUGAGCACAACCCAAGGAAGUCAAAGUGGAAGAUACUCAUUUCACUAGAGAAAAAAGAGAAAGCUCUCCAGAGUGCAAUAUGGGCCCCUGUAGAGAGAGAACUGAGCUGUGCUUUGGCAUUCACAACAACGGAGAGCCUUCAGCAUUUGGCUAGUCCCACAGUCAACCAUUUCCCACAACGUUUCAGGUGUCACCUAAAGCUACUUGUCUACCGAAAUGAAGAUACAGUGACAGUCCAAGAGCUGCAGCAAGAAAGCAAGGAGAGAUACAAGAAUUAAAGACUUUGUGUCACCAAUGUUUUCUCUCCGUAAUUAAAAUUAUGGUGUGAUGUGGUUUUGAAAGGAUCAAAUUAUUUUUUUUUCAUGUUGCUCAUUUUCCUUCUCCUUCAUCCCCAUUCUCAUCACUUUCCACCACUGAACAACAGAGGUUUUGCCUGUUCUUGCCCUUGCACCAGAACCCUUUCUUCUCUUUCUUUUAACUGAAUCCUUCAGAUCAGGAGGUGAUCAUCUGCUUCUGGGCUGUCCAGAGCUAGGCAAGGAUUGCAGCACCUCAUGGAACCUCAUUUCUCACCACAGUUCCCUACGUCUAAGACUCUGGGUGGGAAUGAAGGCAUAGUCCUGGCCUACAUGUAGAGCAUUGCACCAGCUCCAAGGGCAGGACUGCGAUGAGCCUGUGGUGCAAACCAGCAGGGAACUACCCAGGCCUGAAACAAGCCUCCAAGAAGUCAAUGACAAAACUCCCACUGACCUGAAUUGGGUUUGGAUCAGCAUUCUGGUGAGACAAUUUCAGAGGUAAGUUAAGACUGCACAUAAAUGAUUACUAGUGAUUGCCUUGCUGAUGAGCAGAAGGGAAAGGCUGUGGCAGGAAGACCAAACAGUCAGCAGCAGUAACAAACUAAACUCCUGCAGGAUGAUGUACGGGCAUCUUCUUAUACUUGCCUUUCUGUAACCUCAUCCUUGCAAAUCUCAUUCUUUUAUUAACACAUGGUUUACACCU